rnacentral:SRP_RNA from 2 species
GCCGAGCUGGGUAACGUCAGCUUAUGACCUGAGUGGGGGCAACAAGGUGAUUGAACAAGGCUAUGACUUGCUAAACUGGUCUGGAGGUUGCAACUUGCUGGCCUGCCCACUCCAAGUUGAGAAUUGAGCCAUGUGUCCUUUGCGAAGGCAUGGGUUUCCUGGUUACUAGACAGGAGGCACCGCGUGAGGCUGGUUUCACAGAGCAGCGACAACCUCCGGUUCUUGACUCACCAAAUGAGCUUGGUGAGCCUUGUCCUCUUGAACAAUCAUUUUU